rnacentral:tRNA from 1 species
AUUUAAAUAAUUUAUUGUAAAAUAUUAGAGUGUGGAUCUAAAAAUGCUUAUUAGCUUUAAAUU